rnacentral:rRNA from 1 species
UACGUAGGGUGCAAGCGUUAAUCGGAAUUACUGGGCGUAAAGCGUGCGCAGGCGGUAAUGUAAGACAGUUGUGAAAUCCCCGGGCUCAACCUGGGAACUGCAUCUGUGACUGCAUUGCUGGAGUACGGUAGAGGGGGAUGGAAUUCCGCGUGUAGCAGUGAAAUGCGUAGAUAUGCGGAGGAACACCGAUGGCGAAGGCAGGUCUCUGGGCUAUAACUGACGCUCAUGCACGAAAGCGUGGGGAGCAAACAGG